rnacentral:rRNA from 1 species
GAGUUUGAUCCUGGCACUCAGGACAUGAACGCCCUANGCCAGGCCAGGCCUCUAACUACACUGCAAAGCUCGCUGGCGGCACAAGCCAGGGGCUAGCACACGUACUCCAGCUUGGGUCUGACUCGGGCAAAACGGAGCUAGCAGAGGCACACAACGCUCACCCGCCAAACCCUGUCCUUUUAACCCUGGGCACGACACUCAGGGCCUCCGCCCAUUCAGCNACAUAGUCAAUGUCGCGGCACUCUUAACANUAAACAUUGCCACCGGUUAAUACCACUAGCUUGACCAGGUCGUCUCGCGGCCCAANUCUCCAACCUAACGACGGUNUCGACCCAAUCUCAACGUUCCAAGCGCGNCCAUUAGCCAUCCAGUGGACCCAGGAGGCGUNUAUUCAACAAUCAAUGCAAAUCUCGGCAGCACGUNGCCCGGACUUCAGGGCCAGGGCCACUCCUUAGGACACACUCUCUCAAAACGCGAAACNUCUCAAGGCUCACUCCGGCAGGCCCCCAGGAGCANNAGGNCUUCAACUAAAGCUCCCCAGGNUGGUGACCUAGCACCNCUCCCAAAAAGCCCUGCCCAAGAAAUGGGGAUCUAUACCCAUUACUGGGGCAGCUCCUGGAGCUACAAACUUUUCNCNCUAAAGGGGUUUUCAAUAGGCACGCUCCUUUUUCGGGUCCAGCGCUUCUCGGGCACUUCUNGGGGCANAACGCGACAAAAUGGGCGNCCCAACGCCCUGGUNAAAUCGUCCUCCUCCUCUAAGGGGUNUCUCCCCACAAGCCC